rnacentral:rRNA from 1 species
CUACGGGCUGCAGCAGUGGGGAAUAUUGGGCAAUGGGCGCAAGCCUGACCCAGCAACGCCGCGUGAGGGAAGAAUGUCUUCGGAUUGUAAACCUCUGUCCUUGGGGACGAAAAAAAUGACGGUACCCAAGGAGGAAGCUCCGGCUAACUACGUGCCAGCAGCCGCGGUAAUACGUAGGGAGCAAGCGUUGUCCGGAAUUAUUGGGCGUAAGGGGUGCGUAGGCGGCGCUGUAAGUCAGAUGUGAAAUCCCCGGGCUUAACUCGGGAGUUGCAUUUGAAACUACAGUGCUUGAGUAAAGAAGGGGUAAGUGGAAUUCCUAGUGUAGCGGUGGAAUGCGUAGAUAUUAGGAGGAACACCAGUGGCGAAGGCGACUUACUGGUCUUUUACUGACGCUGAGGCACGAAAGCGUGGGGAGCAAACAGGAUUAGAUACCCGGGUAGUC